UGUCUUUAUAUAAUAAUGUACAUGGUAUCUAUUGAGUAUAAAAUUAUAUAAACACCGUUCUCUAACAGUUUAAGCUUUUAGAGUACAACGGUUGUUUCACAUGGUAUCAGAGCAGGAGGUCCUAAGUUAGAGUCACGCCAGGCUCGUAGCAUAUUAAUUUCCUCCCAUUUAAUUCAAGCCCACGUCAUGGGCUGAUUAACAAAAAGUCUCGAGCCCAGACGUGAGGGGGAGUAUUGAAUAUAAAAUUAUAUAAACACCGUUCUCUAACAGCUUAAGCUUUUAGAGUAAUAACUUAAGUUUUCAUAAAGAUAAAUUGUUGUUUUAUAUUAUUUAACAAGGUAUCGUAACUCUCGGAUCAUACCUUUCU
rnacentral:lncRNA from 1 species